CAGGUUGACUAAAGCCGUAGAGUUCAGGUUGACUAAAACCGUAGAGUUCAGGUUGACUAAAGCCGUAGAGUACAGGUUGACUAAAACCGUAGAGUACAGGUUGACUAAAGCCGUAGAGUACAGGUUGACUAAAGCCGUAGAGUACAGGUUGACUAAAACCGUAGAGUACAGGUUGACUAAAGCCGUAGAGUACAGGUUGACUAAAGCCGUAGAGUACAGGUUGACUAAAGCCGUAGAGUACAGGUUGACUAAAGCCGUAGAGUACAGGUUGACUAAAACCGUAGAGUACAGGUUGACUAAAGCCGUAGAGUACAGGUUGACUAAAACCGUAGAGUACAGGAUGACUAAAGCUGUAAAGUACAGGUUGACUAAAGCCGUAGAGUACAGGUUGACUAAAACCGUAGAGUACAGGUUGACUAAAACCGUAGAGUACAGGAUGAC